rnacentral:rRNA from 1 species
UAGCUAGUUGGUGAGGUAAAGGCUUACCAAGGCGACGAUCUGUAGCGGGUCUGAGAGGAUGAUCCGCCACACUGGAACUGAGACACGGUCCAGACUCCUACGGGAGGCAGCAGUGGGGAAUUUUGGACAAUGGGGGCAACCCUGAUCCAGCCAUGCCGCGUGAGUGAAGAAGGCCUUCGGGUUGUAAAGCUCUUUCGGCCGGGAAGAAAUCGCAUGGGCCAAUACCCUGUGUGGAUGACGGUACCGGAAUAAGAAGCACCGGCUAACUACGUGCCAGCAGCCGCGGUAAUACGUAGGGUGCGAGCGUUAAUCGGAAUUACUGGGCGUAAAGCGUGCGCAGGCGGUUUUGUAAGACAGGCGUGAAAUCCCCGGGCUUAACCUGGGAGCUGCGUUUGUGACUGCAAGGCUAGAGUACGGCAGAGGGGGGUGGAAUUCCACGUGUAGCAGUGAAAUGCGUAGAGAUGUGGAGGAACACCAAUGGCGAAGACAGCCCCCUGGGUCGAUACUGACGCUCAUGCACGAAAGCGUGGGUAGCAAACAGGAUUAGAUACCCUGGUAGUCCACGCCCUAAACUAUGUCAACUAGGUGUUGGGUGGGUAAAACCAUUUAGUACCGUAGCUAACGCGUGAAGUUGACCGCCUGGGGAGUACGGCCGCAAGGUUAAAACUCAAAGGAAUUGACGGGGACCCGCACAAGCGGUGGGUGAUGUGGAUUAAUUCGAUGCAACGCGAAAAACCUUACCUACCCUUGACAUGCCAGGAACUUGCCAGAGAUGGCUUGGUGCCCGAAAGGGAGCCUGGACACAGGUGCUGCAUGGCUGUCGUCAGCUCGUGUCGUGAGAUGUUGGGUUAAGUCCCGCAACGAGCGCAACCCUUGUCGUUAAUUGCCAUCAUUUAGUUGGGCACUUUAACGAGACUGCCGGUGACAAACCGGAGGAAGGUGGGGAUGACGUCAAGUCCUCAUGGCCCUUAUGGGUAGGGCUUCACACGUCAUACAAUGGUCGGUACAAAGGGUUGCCAAGCCGCGAGGCGGAGCCAAUCCCAGAAAGCCGAUCGUAGUCCGGAUUGCAGGCUGCAACUCGCCUGCAUGAAGUCGGAAUCGCUAGUAAUCGUGGAUCAGCAUGUCACGGUGAAUACGUUCCCGGGUCUUGUACACACCGCCCGUCACACCAUGGGAGCGGGUUCCGCCAGAAGUAGGUAGCCUAACCGCAAGGGGGGCGCUUACCACGGCGGGGUUCGUGACUGGGGUGAAGUCGUAACAAGGUAGCCGUAGGGGAACCUGCGGCUG